rnacentral:rRNA from 1 species
GACGAACGCUGGCGGCGUGCUUAAUACAUGCAAGUCAACUGAACUUGGGAUAGCAAUAUUUUAAGGGAGGUGGCGCACGGGUGAGUAACACGUAGGUAAUCUGCCUUUAGGUCUGACACAACCCCGAGAAAUCGGGGCUAAUAUCAGAUGAUGCAGCGGCUCGACAUCGAGACAGUUGUUAAACCUUCGGGGCCGUAGAGAUGAGCCUGCGUCUGAUUAGGUAGUUGGCGGAGUAAUAGCCCACCAAGCCUGCGAUCAGUAGCUGGUCUGAGAGGAUGAUCAGCCACACUGGAACUGAGACACGGUCCAGACUCCUACGGGAGGGCAGCAGUAAGGAAUAUUGCUCAAUGGCCGAAAGGCUGAAGCAGCAACGCCGCGUGGAGGAUGAAGGGGCUCUGCCUUGUAA